rnacentral:miRNA from 1 species
CUUUCCAACUCCUCCCAUCC